rnacentral:rRNA from 1 species
UACGUAGGGUGCAAGCGUUGUCCGGAUUUAUUGGGCGUAAAGAGCUCGUAGGCGGUCUGUCGCGUCGGCUGUGAAAACUCGGGGCUCAACCCCGAGCCUGCAGUCGAUACGGGCAGACUAGAGUUCGGUAGGGGAGACUGGAAUUCCUGGUGUAGCGGUGAAAUGCGCAGAUAUCAGGAGGAACACCGGUGGCGAAGGCGGGUCUCUGGGCCGAAACUGACGCUGAGGAGCGAAAGCGUGGGGAGCGAACAGG